GAGUGGCGAACUGGUGAGUAACACGUGGGAAACCUGCCCAGAAGCGGGGGAUAACACCUGGAAACAGAUGCUAAUACCGCAUAACAACUUGGACCGCAUGGUCCGAGCUUGAAAGAUGGCUUCGGCUAUCACUUUUGGAUGGUCCCGCGGCGUAUUAGCUAGAUGGUGGGGUAACGGCUCACCAUGGCAAUGAUACGUAGCCGACCUGAGAGGGUAAUCGGCCACAUUGGGACUGAGACACGGCCCAAACUCCUACGGGAGGCAGCAGUAGGGAAUCUUCCACAAUGGACGAAAGUCUGAUGGAGCAACGCCGCGUGAGUGAAGAAGGGUUUCGGCUCGUAAAACUCUGUUGUUAAAGAAGAACAUAUCUGAGAGUAACUGUUCAGGUAUUGACGGUAUUUAACCAGAAAGCCACGGCUAACUACGUGCCAGCAGCCGCGGUAAUACGUAGGUGGCAAGCGUUGUCCGGAUUUAUUGGGCGUAAAGCGAGCGCAGGCGGUUUUUUAAGUCUGAUGUGAAAGCCUUCGGCUCAACCGAAGAAGUGCAUCGGAAACUGGGAAACUUGAGUGCAGAAGAGGACAGUGGAACUCCAUGUGUAGCGGUGAAAUGCGUAGAUAUAUGGAAGAACACCAGUGGCGAAGGCGGCUGUCUGGUCUGUAACUGACGCUGAGGCUCGAAAGUAUGGGUAGCAAACAGGAUUAGAUACCCUGGUAGUCCAUACCGUAAACGAUGAAUGCUAAGUGUUGGAGGGUUUCCGCCCUUCAGUGCUGCAGCUAACGCAUUAAGCAUUCCGCCUGGGGAGUACGGCCGCAAGGCUGAAACUCAAAGGAAUUGACGGGGGCCCGCACAAGCGGUGGAGCAUGUGGUUUAAUUCGAAGCUACGCGAAGAACCUUACCAGGUCUUGACAUACUAUGCAAAUCUAAGAGAUUAGACGUUCCCUUCGGGGACAUGGAUACAGGUGGUGCAUGGUUGUCGUCAGCUCGUGUCGUGAGAUGUUGGGUUAAGUCCCGCAACGAGCGCAACCCUUAUUAUCAGUUGCCAGCAUUAAGUUGGGCACUCUGGUGAGACUGCCGGUGACAAACCGGAGGAAGGUGGGGAUGACGUCAAAUCAUCAUGCCCCUUAUGACCUGGGCUACACACGUGCUACAAUGGAUGGUACAACGAGUUGCGAACUCGCGAGAGUAAGCUAAUCUCUUAAAGCCAUUCUCAGUUCGGAUUGUAGGCUGCAACUCGCCUACAUGAAGUCGGAAUCGCUAGUAAUCGCGGAUCAGCAUGCCGCGGUGAAUACGUUCCCGGGCCUUGUACACACCGCCCGUCACACCAUGAGAGUUUGUAACACCCAAAGUCGGUGGGGUAACCUUUUAGGAACCAGCCGCCUAAGGUGGGACAGAUGAUUAGGG
rnacentral:rRNA from 1 species